GGCAGCAUGGUCUUAGCUUGCUAAGGCCGAUGGCGACCGGCGCACGGGUGAGUAACACGUAUCCAACCUGCCGUCUACUCUUGGACAGCCUUCUGAAAGGAAGAUUAAUACAAGAUGGCAUCAUGAGUCCGCAUGUUCACAUGAUUAAAGGUAUUCCGGUAGACGAUGGGGAUGCGUUCCAUUAGAUAGUAGGCGGGGUAACGGCCCACCUAGUCUUCGAUGGAUAGGGGUUCUGAGAGGAAGGUCCCCCACAUUGGAACUGAGACACGGUCCAAACUCCUACGGGAGGCAGCAGUGAGGAAUAUUGGUCAAUGGGCGAGAGCCUGAACCAGCCAAGUAGCGUGAAGGAUGACUGCCCUAUGGGUUGUAAACUUCUUUUAUAAAGGAAUAAAGUCGGGUAUGGAUACCCGUUUGCAUGUACUUUAUGAAUAAGGAUCGG
rnacentral:rRNA from 1 species